CCCCCUCCAUCAGCACACGCCCACUCCCUUAGACACGUCUGUACACACCCCUGCUCACACACACCAGGCACACCUUCAAACCCACAGGCACACUCGCGGACACUUCAGCUGCCCAAAUGCCCCCUGGCAACCAUCAGAGGUACUCUCUCACACACGCACCUUGAGACGCCCGUCCCAGCCACAUGUCCUGCAGGCAGGUGUGCGCCACCUGCUCUCCGUCCAACACGCACCUGCCUUGGAAAUUCGCCCUUGCACACUGACCGUGCACGCUCACACUCCCUCAGGGCUGUCCUCGGGACACAGGGACCAUGUCUCCCAUCGCGAACAGACACACACACAGCCUCGGAGCCCACGUGCACACCCCCGCCUUCAACACACACUCAGGACCCUCUCCUGGGGCCGCCCUGCCCGGCCCGUCAGCAGCCUUUGGGGGUCGGGGAGAAGAGCGUGACCCCACUGCGCCCCUGGGCAGGGCUGGCCUCCUCCUGGCCCUCGGCCCUCUUGGGGUCUCCACCUGCCCAGCUCUCCCCCGCCCGCCCAGCAUGCACCCCACAGACGGGGAAGGAACCAGGGCUCCAAGCACCCGCUCAGAGCUGGACGCUGGCGGCCGGGGAUGCGUUUACCCCGGGAAAACGGAGGAAGACACUGAGGCUCGAGGAGGAGACAUCUACCCGAGGUCGCAAUGCCAGAACGUGGCGGGACCUGGAUUCAAACCGCGUCUGCCUGACCCCAAAGCGGGGGGCUCCUUUCAUUGCAAUGGGACUCAAAGAGAAUGUCAGGGGGAGAGCCUGGCAGGAGAGGCCAGGCUGUAGAAACGGGGGGAGAGUGUCUGGCUGCCCCUUCCCCUCAGUUCCACUUAUACCCACCCCUGUGCCGGCAAAUCCCUGGUCCCUUUGGGAGGAUGGAAGGAGCUGGGUGGGCGGGAGGAGCAGGGGAGGGCUGAGCGCGGGCCGAGGCUGCCACCUGCUGGACAAGCCGGCCCGGGCGCAAACGCCUCUAGAACAGAAGAUGGGAGCCCCGGGUGCCCUGUGGCUGGGUGCCCCCCCCAAAAAAAUUCUGUGCCCGUCACUCUCCUCUUCCCAGCCCUCCACCUACCGGGGACUCCCAGGGCCACGUGCGUUCACGUCCUCGCUCUGGUCCCACAUUCUGCAGCCUGUGCCAAGGGUGGAGGUGCAGACAGGGAGACCAAGGCCCCAAGGGUCCCAAGCGAGGCAGAGACUGAGCUCUGAACUCCUCCCCAUGCCUAGCACAGGCCCAGCAUCGUGUGUGCUGAGUCUUUUCCCCCAUCACACAUGGGAGCUGCUGGAACCCCCGUUUACAGAGGAGGUCAAGCCGCUCGCCCCGAGGGACAUAGGUGGCAGGAGUGGGGUUGGGAUGGGAACCAUCUCCUGCUUGACACCCCCUUUCUCCCUGGAAUCCCAUAGGAGGAGAAGAGGAAGAGAAGAGGGGCCUCUUUCAGCUCUGCCAGCCUGGCCCCAGUUGGCCACCGCUCACCAGCCAUAA
rnacentral:lncRNA from 1 species